GACGAACGCUGGCGGCGUGCCUAAUACAUGCAAGUAGAACGCUGAAGAGAGGAGCUUGCUCUUCUUGGAUGAGUUGCGAACGGGUGAGUAACGCGUAGGUAACCUGCCUUGCAGCGGGGGAUAACUAUUGGAAACGAUAGCUAAUACCGCAUAACAAUGGAUGACACAUGUCAUUUAUUUGAAAGGGGCAAUUGCUCCACUACAAGAUGGACCUGCGUUGUAUUAGCUAGUAGGUGAGGUAACGGCUCACCUAGGCGACGAUACAUAGCCGACCUGAGAGGGUGAUCGGCCACACUGGGACUGAGACACGGCCCAGACUCCUACGGGAGGCAGCAGUAGGGAAUCUUCGGCAAUGGGGGCAACCCUGACCGAGCAACGCCGCGUGAGUGAAGAAGGUUUUCGGAUCGUAAAGCUCUGUUGUAAGUCAAGAACGAGUGUGAGAGUGGAAAGUUCACACUGUGACGGUAGCUUACCAGAAAGGGACGGCUAACUACGUGCCAGCAGCCGCGGUAAUACGUAGGUCCCGAGCGUUGUCCGGAUUUAUUGGGCGUAAAGCGAGCGCAGGCGGUUUGAUAAGUCUGAAGUUAAAGGCUGUGGCUCAACCAUAGUUCGCUUUGGAAACUGUCAAACUUGAGUGCAGAAGGGGAGAGUGGAAUUCCAUGUGUAGCGGUGAGAUGCGUAGAUAUAUGGAGGAACACCGGUGGCGAAAGCGGCUCUCUGGUCUGUAACUGACGCUGAGGCUCGAAAGCGUGGGGAGCGAACAGG
rnacentral:rRNA from 1 species